rnacentral:rRNA from 1 species
GACGAACGCUGGCGGCGUGCUUCAUACAUGCAAGUCGAACGGGUACCAAUCAGUGGCAACACUGAGGAAGUGCUAGUGGCGAACGGGUGAGUAACACGUGAGGAACUUGCCCCGGACUCUGGGAUAACAGGUGGAACACCUGCUAAUACCGGAUGCCAUCGGUGGAUCGCAUGGUCUACCGAUGAAAGAAUUUCGGUCCGGGAUGGCCUCGCGGCCUAUCAGCUAGUUGGUGGGUAACGGCCCACCAAGGCGUCGACGGGUAGCUGGUCUGAGAGGAUGAUCAGCCACACUGGGACUGAGACACGGCCCAGACUCCUACGGGUGGCUG